UCGCGACUCUCAACCCUUUGUGAACUUAUUCAGUUGAGCUGCUUCGGCAGGUAUGUGAACGGGCGUUUCGAAAGAAGCACCGGGAACACGCCUGCCGGCCGGCUCGCCAACCAAACUCUUUGUUAAUCUAAGGACCUCUGAGUUAAAAACAAAAUUUAUUAAAACUUUCAACAACGGAUCUCUUGGUUCUGGCAUCGAUGAAGAACGCAGCGAAAUGCGAUAAGUAAUGUGAAUUGCAGAAUUCAGUGAAUCAUCGAAUCUUUGAACGCACAUUGCGCCCUCUAGUAUUCUGGAGGGCAUGCCUGUUCGAGCGUCAUUUCAACCCCUCUGUACUCUCGGGUAUAGGUGUUGGAGCUUUGUAGCAAUGCAAUCUCCUAAAGACAUUGGCGGACCUCCUAUGGUACCGAGCGCAGUAAUAACAUUCUCGCUUUGGGAACAAGGGAUGGCCUCUUGCCGUUAAACCCCCAAAUUUUUAAGGUUGACCUCGGAUCAGGUAGGAAUACCCGCUGAACUUAAGCAUAUCAUAAA
rnacentral:misc_RNA from 1 species